GUGGUCAAGAUACUAAGGGCGCAUGGUGGAUGCCUUGGCGUCGGAAGCCGAUGAAGGACGUGGUUAGCUGCGAUAAGCCUCGGGGAGGUGCGACAACCUUUGAUCCGAGGAUUUCCGAAUGGGGCAACCCGGCCCGCUUCAUUGCGGGUCACCCACAGGUGAAUACAUAGCCUGUGGGAGGGAAGCCAGCGAACUGAAACAUCUUAGUAGCUGGACAGAAGAAAGAAACCUCGAUUCCCCUAGUAGUGGCGAGCGAAAAGGGAAGAGCCCAAACCGUGUCAGUGUAAGGCCGCAGCCGUUGCUGGCGCGGGGUUUUGGAGACGGCUAUCCCGCCUGCGGAGCGGGGAGGAAGUAAGAAAUCCCUCACCCAGAAGAAGCGUCUGGAAAGGCGCGCCAAAGAAGGUGACAGCCCUGUAUUCGAAGGAUGAUGGACUUCCGCCGAGUUUCCCGAGUACCACGGGACACGUGAAACCCUGUGGGAAGAUGGGGGGGCCAACCCCCAAGGCUAAAUACUCUCCGACGACCGAUAGUGGACAAGUACCGUGAGGGAAAGGUGAAAAGUACCCCGGGAGGGGAGUGAAAUAGUACCUGAAACCGUGCGCCUACAAACUGUAGGAGGGCUAUACCCGCUUUCGGGCGGGGAUGCCUGACUGCGUGCUUUUUGUAUAAUGAGCCAGCGAGUUGCCUUCAGCAGCAAGGUUAAGGGUUUAUACCCGGAGCCACAGGGAAACCGAGUCUUAACAGGGCGCAUUAGUUGCUGGAGGCAGACCCGAAAUCAGGUGACCUACCCAUGGGCAGGGUGAAGCGGGGGUAAAACCCCGUGGAGGCCCGAACCGGUGUACGUUGAAAAGUGCUCGGAUGACCUGUGGGUAGCGGUGAAAAGCCAAACGAACCUGGCUAUAUCUGGUUCUCCCCGAAAUUCCUCUAAGGGAAGCCUCGAGUCAAUGGAGCGCGGGGGUAGGGCUCUGGAUGGCCUAGGGGGUGUAACAGCUUACCAAAGUCAACUAAACCACAAAUACCGCGCCACCUUAUCUCGGGAGUGAGAGUGUGGGGGAUAAGCUCCAUGCUCGAAAGGGAAACAGCCCAGACCAACGGCUAAGGUCCCUAAUCCAGACUAAGUGGUAAAGGAAGUAGGGCUUCAGAGACAACCAGGAGGUUGGCUUAGAAGCAGCCACCCUUGAAAGAAAGCNNNNNNNNNNNNNNNNNNNNNNNNNNNNNNNNNNNNNNNNNNNNNNNNNNNNNNNNNNNNNNNNNNNNNNNNNNNNNNNNNNNNNNNNNNNNNNNNNNNNNNNNNNNNNNNNNNNNNNNNNNNNNNNNNNNNNNNNNNNNNNNNNNNNNNNNNNGGCUGGAAGGCUGAUGGUAGCGCCUAUCCGGGACAUAGGGGUGCCCGUAGCGGCACCCCGAAGGGAACCGGCGACCCGGAUUUAUUUCCGGGGAGCAGUUGAUCCCAGAGGACGAGAAAAGCCGUCCGGUGAGGUUGCAGGUGUCCGUACCGCAAACCAACACAGGUGGGUGAGGAGAGAAUCCUCAGGCGUGCGAGCUAACCACCGCUAAGGAACUCGGCAAACUAGACCCGUAACUUCGGGAUAAGGGUCGCCACGUUAGGGUGCAAGGGUUUACCCCCCAAGCCCGAGGUGGCCGCAGUGAAAAGGCCUGGGCGACUGUUUACCAAAAACACAGGACUCUGCCAAAGCGCAAGCUGACGUAUAGGGUCUGACGCGUGCCCGGUGCUGGAAGGUUAAGGAAGGAGGUUAGUCCCUUCGGGGGCAAAGCUUCCGACUGAAGCCCCAGUAAACGGCGGCCGUAACUAUAACGGUCCUAAGGUUAGGAUCCGCUAGCCUUAGUAAAACUGAACCAUAUGCGGGAAACUCCUCCCACAGCCGUUCGGUACUCGCUCCGCGAGUGGAGCAGUAAAAAUCCGACGGACACGGGGACAAUCCGCAGGGAAGGCUCCCAAUGGCCUAUAAUUGGGAGAACCCUCAGAGACUUUACGUUCGGUCCCGGCCUAUGAAUCUCGAAGCCCAAUGGAUUGUCGGAUUUGUUGAUGGUGAAGGCUGCUUCUAUGUGGGAGUGAAUUCCCACCCCGAGAUGUCAGCCGGAUACCAGGUGCUGCCUGAAUUCACCGUGGUACAGCACGAACGCGACAUUCAGCUGCUACACGCCCUAAAGUCGUUUUUCGGCUGCGGGGUGGUGCGGCGGAAUCGUGAAGACCGCAUGGCGUACCGCGUACGGAGCGUCAAGCAUCUGGGAACCAUCAUCAUCCCCUUCUUCGAGAAGCACCAGCUGAAAUCGAAGAAGAACAUCGACUUCAAGAAGUUUCGGCGCAUCGUCCGGCUGAUGGAAGCCGGCGAGCACCUGACUUCAGAGGGCAUCGAGAAGGUAAGAAGAAUCACGGCGCAGAUGAACCGUGGCCGUGAUUGUGGCCGGGGAAGAUAAAGUCCGGCUCCUUCGGAAACGGAGAGAGAGCAUCCGAGCGAAAUUCCUUGUCGGGUAAGUUCCGACCCGCACGAAUCGCGUAACGAUCCGGGCGCUGUCUCGGCGGUGGACUCGGUGAAGUUGCAAAGCCGGUGAAGAUGCCGGCUACCCGCAGUAGGACGAAAAGACCCCGUGGAGCUUUACUAUAGCUUGGUCUUGGUCUUUGGUUCGUCUUGUGCAGGAUAGGUGGGAGGCUUUGAAGCCGUGCCGUCAGGCGCGGUGGAGCCAUCCUUGAGAUACCACCCUGGAUAAGUCGGAGACCUAACUCUGUGCCGUGAAUCCGGCCAUAGGACAGGGCCUGGUGGGUAGUUUGACUGGGGCGGUCGCCUCCUAAAGAGUAACGGAGGCGCACAAAGGUUCCCUCAGCGCGUAUGGAAACCGCGCACCGAGUGUAAAGGCAUAAGGGAGCUUUACUGUGAGACCUACAAGUCGAUCAGUUGCGAAAGCAGGUCUUAGUGACCCGACGGUUCCUUUUGGUAGGGCCGAAGCUCAACGGAUAAAAGUUACCCCGGGGAUAACAGGCUGGUGAGGCCCAAGAGUCCACAUCGACGGCCUCGCUCGGCACCUCGAUGUCGGCUCGUCGCAUCCUGGGGCUGGAGAAGGUCCCAAGGGUUGGGCUGUUCGC
rnacentral:rRNA from 1 species